ensembl:lncRNA
UGAGUGGAGGUGAUGAUGAGGUUAAGGGUUUAGGGGGACAGGAUGAAUGGAGGUGAUGAUGAGGUGAGGGGUUUAGGGGGAUGAUUGGAGGUUAUGAUGAGGUAAAGGGUUUAGGGGAACAUGAUAAGUGGAGGUGCUGAUGAGGUUAAGGGUUUAGGGGGACAUGAUGAGUGGAGGUGAUGAUGAGGUAAAGGGUUUAGGGGGACAGGAUGAGUGGAGGUGAUGAUGAGAUAAAGGGUUUAGGGGACAGGAUGAGUGGAGGUGAUGAUGAGGUUAAGGGUUUAGGGGGACAGGAUGAGUGGAGGUGAUGAUGAGGUAAAGGGUUUAGGGGGACAGGAUGAGUGGAGGUGAUGAUGAGGUUUAGGGGGAGAGGAUGAGUGGAGGUGAUGAUGGGGUAAAGGGUUUAGGGGGAAUGAUGAGUGGAGGUGAUGAUGAGGUAAAGGGUUUAGGGGGACAUGAUGAGUGGAGGUGAUGAUGAGGUAAAGGGUUUAGGGGGACAUGAUGAGUGGAGGUGAUGAUGAGGUAAAGGGUUUAGGGGGACAUGAUGAGUGGAGGUGAUGAUUGGGUUAAGGGUUUAAGGUGAUGAGUGGAGGUGAUGAUGAGGUUAAGGGUUUAGGGGAUGAGGGGAGGGGAGGUCUUGAUGAGGUUAAGGGUUUAGGGGACAGGAUGAGUGGAGGGGAUAUCCCUUUGCCUCGUCUACUGUCUCACAUUGUAUGUCGGAAAUGCAGCAGUGUGGUGUGUGUGUGUGUGUCUGUCGAGCUGCAUGUACAAGAGUAAACGUCCUCCGGGCAAUAGGAGUCAUCCUGGGAAUAUUUAUUUUAGCUGGUAACUCAAAGAGGCAGCCAAACCCUAAUCUGGC